UAAGUGAUAUAUGUCCAACGAUUUAAUAUACUAUUUAGUAACUUGUAAGUAUACGAUAUGUUGAUACAUCGCGAUCGUUAUCAAUUUAUAGACGAUUUCAUUUUCUAUCGCAAACAAUUUUGGUUUACAUUGAAUUUUCCAUUUGGUUGUUCAAAAUAUUUGGAACAGUACAGGUGGAGCAGUACUACCUAUAUACAUUAUACAAUAUACAGUAAGCUGAACACAGUAAUCAUACUACAAUCAUUUACACAAUGGAAAGUGGAGUGUUAGAAAGAAAACCGUUCCAUUUUCACACUUUUGCUGUCGUCCUUUGUGUUUGAAAUCGAUUAUCACACAGUUUGGAACAAUCGGGCACUUAUAGAAAAACGGUGCAAAUCUUCGGGGCAGAAAAAUGAAUAUUUGUUAACAUUUGGUUUCGAGUUGAACAAGUUUAGAAAUUAGAAAUUGAAUGCAUUCAAGGACUAAAAUGCUCUUCAGAAUAUCAUACAAAAAUACAAAAACAUUUUUACUCUCAAAUGUCUCAAUCAUUUAAAAAUGAAAUAAUAAUCCAAUAUGCUUACUAUUCAGCUUUGAAUUGUAUUAAUGGAUCCUAAAAAUUCU